rnacentral:misc_RNA from 1 species
GAUGAAGAACGUAGCGAAAUGCGAUAAGUAAUGUGAAUUGCAGAAUUCAGUGAAUCAUCGAAUCUUUGAACGCACAUUGCGCCCCUUGGUAUUCCGAGGGGCAUGCCUAUUCGAGCGUCAUUAUCACCCCUCAAGCCUAGCUUGGUGUUGGGGCUUGCUGUAAAGGCAGCCUCUAAAAUCAGUGGCAGUGCUGUCAGGCUCUAAGCGUAGUAAAUUCAUCGCUAUAGGGUCCUGGUGGAUACUCGUCAAAACCCCACAUUUUUAAUGAUUGACCUCGGAUUAGGUAGGGAUACCCGCUGAACUUAAGCAUAUCAAUAAGCGGAGGA